rnacentral:rRNA from 1 species
AGCGAGUGGCGAACGGGUGAGUAACACGUGGAUAACCUGCCUCAAGGCUGGGGAUAACAUUUGGAAACAGAUGCUAAUACCGAAUAAAACUUAGUAUCGCAUGAUAUCAAGUUAAAAGGCGCUACGGCGUCACCUAGAGAUGGAUCCGCGGUGCAUUAGUUAGUUGGUGGGGUAAAGGCUUACCAAGACAAUGAUGCAUAGCCGAGUUGAGAGACUGAUCGGCCACAUUGGGACUGAGACACGGCCCAAACUCCUACGGGAGGCUGCAGUAGGGAAUCUUCCACAAUGGGCGCAAGCCUGAUGGAGCAACGCCGCGUGUGUGAUGAAGGCUUUCGGGUCGUAAAGCACUGUUGUAUGGGAAGAAAUGCUAAAAUAGGGAAUGAUUUUAGUUUGACGGUACCAUACCAGAAAGGGACGGCUAAAUACGUGCCAGCAGCCGCGGUAAUACGUAUGUCCCGAGCGUUAUCCGGAUUUAUUGGGCGUAAAGCGAGCGCAGACGGUUGAUUAAGUCUGAUGUGAAAGCCCGGAGCUCAACUCCGGAAUGGCAUUGGAAACUGGUUAACUUGAGUGUUGUAGAGGUAAGUGGAACUCCAUGUGUAGCGGUGGAAUGCGUAGAUAUAUGGAAGAACACCAGUGGCGAAGGCGGCUUACUGGACAACAACUGACGUUGAGGCUCGAAAGUGUGGGUAGCAAACAGGAUUAGAUACCCUGGUAGUCCACACCGUAAACGAUGAAUACUAGGUGUUAGGAGGUUUCCGCCUCUUAGUGCCGAAGCUAACGCAUUAAGUAUUCCGCCUGGGGAGUACGACCGCAAGGUUGAAACUCAAAGGAAUUGACGGGGACCCGCACAAGCGGUGGAGCAUGUGGUUUAAUUCGAAGCAACGCGAAGAACCUUACCAGGUCUUGACAUCCUUUGAAGCUUUUAGAGAUAGAAGUGUUCUCUUCGGAGACAAAGUGACAGGUGGUGCAUGGUCGUCGUCAGCUCGUGUCGUGAGAUGUUGGGUUAAGUCCCGCAACGAGCGCAACCCUUAUUGUUAGUUGCCAGCAUUCAGUUGGGCACUCUAGCGAGACUGCCGGUGACAAACCGGAGGAAGGCGGGGACGACGUCAGAUCAUCAUGCCCCUUAUGACCUGGGCUACACACGUGCUACAAUGGCGUAUACAACGAGUUGCCAACCUGCGAAGGUGAGCUAAUCUCUUAAAGUACGUCUCAGUUCGGACUGCAGUCUGCAACUCGACUGCACGAAGUCGGAAUCGCUAGUAAUCGCGGAUCAGCACGCCGCGGUGAAUACGUUCCCGGGUCUUGUACACACCGCCCGUCACACCAUGGGAGUUUGUAAU